GGAGUUAGCCGGUGCUUCUUCUGUGAGUGAUGUCCUUCCUGCCGGCUAUUAACCCGCAGGCCUUCUUCCUCACUGAAAGUGCUUUACAACCCGAAGGCCUUCUUCACACACGCGGCAUGGCUGGAUCAGGGUUGCCCCCAUUGUCCAAUAUUCCCCACUGCUGCCUCCCGUAGGAGUCUGGGCCGUGUCUCAGUCCCAGUGUGGCUGAUCAUCCUCUCAGACCAGCUACGGAUCGUCGCCUUGGUGAGCCGUUACCUCACCAACCAGCUAAUCCGACAUAGGCUCAUCCGAUAGCGCGAGGCCCGAAGGUCCCCCGCUUUCCCCCGUAGGGCGUAUGCAGUAUUAGCCUGGGUUUCCCCCAGGGUUAUCCCCCACUACCGGGCAGAUUCCUAUGCAUUACUCACCCGUCCGCCGCUCGCCACCAGGGAGCAAGCUCCCCGUGCUGCCGCUCGACUUGCAUGUGUUAGGCCUGCCGCCAGCGUUCAAUCUGAGCCAUGAUCAAACUCUGA
rnacentral:rRNA from 1 species